GAUAAAUCCAGGGAUUGUAUAUUGUGUACAUACAUUUAUAAUUAAUCAUUUUCAUUUUAUUCUUAUUUCAGGUGAUCCGACAGACGACUUCUCUAUACAGUAUAGAUAUAUUAUAUGUUGUCAAUCCAGUCGCAUCUUGUCUUGGCCUUAACUGUUCAGCUCUGUGUUACAGGGCUGGUUCAUUGUGUAUUUAAGGGUAUCUGGGUCGAUCUACUUUUAUGUCAUUGUCUUUAGUUGUUUUAACAAUAGCCCAGGCUCAGCUUCUCAGUUGAUUGGUGUAAGUUCAAAUAUACUUCUCACCGCCAUGUUACUAAUCAGUUUUGCACCACACUGUCUCUACAUGAGGACUGUUCUAAAGAUUGAGUUUUGAUCUAAGGAUUAUUGCACGUGUUGGCUGCCCGGCUGCUGGGUGCUUGAGCACACUCCCGUGUCACCCACAGGGUAGGUUUCAUUGUCUGUUUUAUAGUCUGUUUCAUGAUAUGUCACAUGAAAUGUCACUUGUAAUAGUAAAAAUAGUAUAUGCCAUAUUUCAUAACCUGGAUUAUGUGUUAGAUUAUGUAAGACAGAUACACUGUUUACUUAAGUCUUUGUUAUUCCGAUGUGUACAUAUGAAGACAUGCAUUUAUGAGAUGUUUAUACCUAUAUAUAUAUAUAUGAGAGCAUAUGUUCAUCGGAUGUGGUUUUUAGCAUAAACAUAUACAUUGUAUAAUUAUGAUUGUUACAGAGUGUCUACUCCUACAACUUCUUCCACGACGGAAUAAAAGAUAUUGACCUCACAA